rnacentral:rRNA from 1 species
UUUGGAAGAAUUUGAUCCUGGCUCAGGACGAACGCUGGCGGCGUGCCUAAUACAUGCAAGUCGAGCGAGCUUGCCUAGAUGAAUUUGGUGCUUGCACCAAAUGAAACUAGAUACAAGCGAGCGGCGGACGGGUGAGUAACACGUGGGUAACCUGCCCAAGAGACUGGGAUAACACCUGGAAACAGAUGCUAAUACCGGAUAACAACACUAGACGCAUGUCUAGAGUUUAAAAGAUGGUUCUGCUAUCACUCUUGGAUGGACCUGCGGUGCAUUAGCUAGUUGGUAAGGUAACGGCUUACCAAGGCAAUGAUGCAUAGCCGAGUUGAGAGACUGAUCGGCCACAUUGGGACUGAGACACGGCCCAAACUCCUACGGGAGGCAGCAGUAGGGAAUCUUCCACAAUGGACGCAAGUCUGAUGGAGCAACGCCGCGUGAGUGAAGAAGGGUUUCGGCUCGUAAAGCUCUGUUGGUAGUGAAGAAAGAUAGAGGUAGUAACUGGCCUUUAUUUGACGGUAAUUACUUAGAAAGUCACGGCUAACUACGUGCCAGCAGCCGCGU